GGGUUGUGAGGUUAAGCGACUAAGCGUACACGGUGGAUGCCCUGGCAGUCAGAGGCGAUGAAGGACGUGCUAAUCUGCGAUAAGCGUCGGUAAGGUGAUAUGAACCGUUAUAACCGGCGAUUUCCGAAUGGGGAAACCCAGUGUGUUUCGACACACUAUCAUUAACUGAAUCCAUAGGUUAAUGAGGCGAACCGGGGGAACUGAAACAUCUAAGUACCCCGAGGAAAAGAAAUCAACCGAGAUUCCCCCAGUAGCGGCGAGCGAACGGGGAGCAGCCCAGAGCCUGAAUCAGUGUGUGUGUUAGUGGAAGCGUCUGGAAAGGCGCGCGAUACAGGGUGACAGCCCCGUACACAAAAAUGCACAUGCUGUGAGCUCGAUGAGUAGGGCGGGACACGUGGUAUCCUGUCUGAAUAUGGGGGGACCAUCCUCCAAGGCUAAAUACUCCUGACUGACCGAUAGUGAACCAGUACCGUGAGGGAAAGGCGAAAAGAACCCCGGCGAGGGGAGUGAAAAAGAACCUGAAACCGUGUACGUACAAGCAGUGGGAGCACGCUUAGGCGUGUGACUGCGUACCUUUUGUAUAAUGGGUCAGCGACUUAUAUUCUGUAGCAAGGUUAACCGAAUAGGGGAGCCGAAGGGAAACCGAGUCUUAACUGGGCGUUAAGUUGCAGGGUAUAGACCCGAAACCCGGUGAUCUAGCCAUGGGCAGGUUGAAGGUUGGGUAACACUAACUGGAGGACCGAACCGACUAAUGUUGAAAAAUUAGCGGAUGACUUGUGGCUGGGGGUGAAAGGCCAAUCAAACCGGGAGAUAGCUGGUUCUCCCCGAAAGCUAUUUAGGUAGCGCCUCGUGAAUUCAUCUCCGGGGGUAGAGCACUGUUUCGGCAAGGGGGUCAUCCCGACUUACCAACCCGAUGCAAACUGCGAAUACCGGAGAAUGUUAUCACGGGAGACACACGGCGGGUGCUAACGUCCGUCGUGAAGAGGGAAACAACCCAGACCGCCAGCUAAGGUCCCAAAGUCAUGGUUAAGUGGGAAACGAUGUGGGAAGGCCCAGACAGCCAGGAUGUUGGCUUAGAAGCAGCCAUCAUUUAAAGAAAGCGUAAUAGCUCACUGGUCGAGUCGGCCUGCGCGGAAGAUGUAACGGGGCUAAACCAUGCACCGAAGCUGCGGCAGCGACACUAUGUGUUGUUGGGUAGGGGAGCGU
rnacentral:rRNA from 1 species